GGGGAUUUAGCUCAGCGGUAGAGCACUUGCUUAGCAAGUGCAAGGCCCUGGGUUCGGUCCCCAGCUCCG
rfam:Rattus norvegicus chromosome 4, whole genome shotgun sequence.